rnacentral:piRNA from 1 species
UGGAAGUGCUAACAAACUGUCAUGGCCUA